rnacentral:rRNA from 1 species
AUUGAACGCUGGCGGCAGGCCUAACACAUGCAAGUCGAGCGAGUGGCGGACGGGUGAGUAAUGUCUGGGAAACUGCCUGAUGGAGGGGGAUAACUACUGGAAACGGUAGCUAAUACCGCAUACCAUCGGAUGUGCCCAGAUGGGAUUUGUUAGUAGGUGGGGUAACGGCUCACCUAGGCGACGAUCCCUAGCAGGUCUGAGAGGAUGAACAGCCACACUGGACCUGUGACACGGUCCAGCUUCCUACGGGAGGCAGCAGUGGGGAAUAUUACACAAUGGGCGCAAGCCUGAUGCAGCCAUGCCGCGUGUAUGAAGAGGUCCUUCGGGUUGUAAAGCACUUUCAGCGGGGAGGCGUUACCCGCAGAAGAAGCACCGGCUAACUCCGUGCCAGCAGCCGCGGUAAUAC